CACACUCACCGACAUGCGCGAAGUCGCUCGUGUCACCCCAUCCAUAGAAAUUACGUAAGAACGCAGUGCGAGUUUCUGAAGUGCUGCGUCGCUGCCGGUGCUGUCCUGCUGCGGCGCCGCCAUCACAGUUUCUCUCUUCUCCCAUCUUCCUCCCGUUGUCCAAGCGCCCUCGUGUGUUAUCGAGCAACACGCCGCGUCUCCUCUCUCUUGGUUCGCUCUCGUUGGUUGCCUCGAACGUUUCACUUGCCUCGUUCUGUGCCGCGACGAAGUCGUCCGCACCGCCAGAUCAAGAUGGAGCGUGCGGCGGAGGUGACCCUAAUAGAGGACGCGUUUCCUCACUUCAACUUCGCCGCCGACGCAGCGGCGUCUACAGCGCUGCGGCGAGCCACAGAUGCGUUCUCGAUGGAAAACACGGACGAGGUUGUGAGACUUGUUCGCCAACUACUGGAGAAGCUGCUGCAGGCAGAGCCGUCGGCUGCGGCUGCGUGGACGCAAGUGUACGUGUUUGGCUCGAGUGGUCUAGACGCCGCUAUCACGGGCAGUGACAUCGAUUUGUAUGGUGAGCCACUUCCUUCUUCCCAUCGUUUCUUUCCUGUUGCGCUUAACUUCUUCCCUUCCCCCCUCCCCCCGUCCCCCCGUCCCCCCGUCUUGCCCGCUCUCUCCUCUCCUCUCUUUCCCUCCUCUCUUGCGUCUCUCCUCGGCCACGACCGUGGGCAGCGUGCAAGGCAGCGCAGUUGCAGGUGUGUGGGAGAGAGCAGGAGAGAGAGAACGGGCGAGGAGGGAAUCUUCGUGUCGCUCAUGUGUAUACUCGAGCAUUUGCAGACUCUUCAUCUCUCCCGCUCUCCUCACUCCACUUCGUCUUCCGUCCCCUCCUCCUACCUUUCUCUCUCGGGCUCUCCGCAUGCUCGUCCACGCACCGUGCGUGCGAAUGGUGAUGAUCACGUGGAGCGCCACCUUUUUCCACAUCAUGCUCACAAAUAUCGCCACUCCUCCUUUCUUUCUCACCUGCUUGCCUACAUUGCCAACCGUGUGCAUAUCUUCGUACACCCCUCCAAUGUUGCACAUUCACGGUGCUGUGAUACUCCCGCCAUGGUGCAUGGCGGCGCCGCGCCGUUGCUCUCGGCUUUCUCCUCCCUUUUCAAGGUUUUAUCCUCGCUUUUCCUUCUGCACGCCUCACGCCCUUUCACCCGAGGCGUAAACUGCGACGGCAUGCUGCGCUCUGCGUAUUUCACCGUGCGCGCCUUCACUACAACAUGACUACUGGUAAUACGCUACGAUGGCGGUGCACGCAUGCGCACAUGCCACCCCUUCGCUGCUCUCUGCUCUCUCCUCUCGCUGCUCUCACCUUUCUCUUUGUGUGUCGUGUACUCGUCGUUUGCGAAUGCUGCCGCGAAGAAUUGCAUUGUGCUCCGCCUCUGUGAACACGAGCUUGUUUUUUCAGACAUUCCCGCGCUCGGCUGAGGGGCGCCUGCAGGACGUCGUCGUGGUCACUUCGGCCCGCGUCCCUCUAAUCAAGUUUUCGUACAACGGUGUUCACGUCGAUCUCCUGUUUGCCUCCGUUGAUAUGCGGACGGCGCCUGACACGAAUGAGCUUCUGCGCGACGACUUUCUUUCCCUGGUGUCGCUGCCCUGUCGGGCGACCGUGAACGGGAUCCGCACGAUUCUGGAGAUUCGUCGCCGCCUUCCCCUUCCACUGGACGCGUACGCUUGCGUGCUGCGCGCGGUCAAGUACUGGGCGGCGCAGCGGCAGGUGUAUGGGAACCUCUACACCUUCCCCAACGGCGUGUGCCUCGCGAUUAUGGUGGCCCGUGCCUGCCAGCUUUGCCCUGUCGCGGACAGUGGCGUCAUUUUGCGCUUCUUCUUCUCCCUGUACGUAUGGUGGCUCCUGCGUGACACCCGCAUCGCUCCUGUUUCUAUUGUGCCCACGGAUGAGAAUGCGGCCAUCGCGCGAGUGCCGGGGAUGCCGCCGCCGUGGGAUGCCGUCUGGGACGCGGCAGACCUGUUCCCAGUGCUGAACCCGGCACGACCCACCGUCAACGCGGCCCACGCGGUGGGCCGCAGUGGACUACAGCUCUUUUUGAAGGAGCUCCUCCGCGCUGAGCAGCUGUGCGCCCUAGUCCCGAUGUCGUACUCGGCACUAUGGGAGCCGUACAACAUACUCGAUGAGCAUCGCUUCUUCGUUGGCGUGCACAUCUCGAGCGAGCACCAGUCGCUUGCAGCGUGCGAGGACACUAUCAAUGCAUGGAAGGGGUACGUAGAAAGCAAAUUGCGUAUGUUUGUGUACGCGCUGGAGUGCGUGGCCGAGGUGCGGCCGUUCUCACGCCCGGUUGUCGACGAGCCGCCUCGAGUGGUGACUCGGAGAGGGGUGAAGGUGCACUGCCGCUCUCGCGCAUUCUUCUUUGGCGUGCGCAACGGCAACAAGGAUGUGGAGCACAGCGAUGUGGAAGCCGCAUUCAGAGAGUUUGAGUUUGCGGUGACGGAGGGCACAACGGGAAAGAAUCCGUUUGAGUGGAACAGGUCAGUCAUGCUCGGGCCACGGCUCUCUUUCUUCUCCAUCUACGAUCCGCUGACAGCCGACUCGCCGUGCCAGGCACUUUACAGCGCCUGCGCCGAAAUGAUGGGGUCUUCGGUGUGAGAGGCCGCGACGGUGGCGUUGCGCGCUUGUCAGCGUGCACCAGUGGCUCUUCUCCUCGGUGCCGCUUCCGGCUCGCGCGCUGCAUGGAGGAACGCCGUUUGUGAUCAUGACUGGGCCCCAGGCGCGCGCUUCCUGUUUUCCGUCCUGUGCGUUCCCCCCUGCCUUUCCAGGUCCUCGUCCCUCCUCCACACGCCACCGUGACAGUCCUGCAGAUAACCUCCAACGCAGGCGAGGGAAAAGCUAAGGACGAACAUGAACCAAACAACAACAAACG
rnacentral:misc_RNA from 1 species